AGCAGAAAGUAAACUAGAGAGCACAAAACACAAAGUCACACUCUUGUAUAACAUACACUCAGUAAAAAGGAGGCCCACUAGAGCAGGGUUUCUCAACCUGGCACUAUUGCAUUUGGGGCUGUCUGAGUCUUGCUGUGGGGGCUGCCUGUGCAUUGUGGGGUAUUAGCAGCAUCUCUGAAUUCUACUCAGUAGAUACCAGUAGCCCCCCCACAACCAAAAAUGUCUCUGGACAUUGCCAAAUGUCUCCUGAGGUUGGGGGAGUGAGAAUCACUGCCCCACAGUUACAUCCUGGCAGAGUUAAGCAAUGAAACAAAAUCACUGGCCAUUAAUAAUACUAUAUGAUUUUCAAUUAAGAGCUUAUUUACACACCAAGUACCUUAGAAACCUGAUCUCAUCCCAUCCUCAUCAAAACCUUAUGGUGUGUACAAGCUGGAAUGAUGCCUAUUUUAUAGGUUAGGGCACUGAGGCACAAAGAGUUUAGUGGAUGCCUAGCUGCACAGUAGUGACCGAUAGAGCAGGCAUUUGAAGCCUGCCCUGCCAUCUUAGUCAGUGCACCGAGAUAUGAAGAGCAUUUUUAAAGUGUGCUAGGCUCUUUCAUUUUCAUUACAUGUCCACUGAUAUGGUUUGACUCUGUGUCCCCACCGAAAUCUCAUGUCGAAAUGCAAUCCCCACAUGUUGGAGGAGGGACCUGGUGGGAAGUGAUUGGAUCAUGGAGGUGGAUUUCCCUCCUACUGUUCUCGUGAUAGUGAGUGAGUUCUCAUGAGAUCCAAUGGUUUAAAAGUGUGUGGCACUUCCUCCCUUCACUCUCUCUCUCUCUCCGGCCACCAUGUGAAGAUAUGCGUGCUUCCCCUUCACCCUUCUGCCAUGAUUGUAAGUUUCCUGAGGCUUCCCCAGCCAUGCCUCCUGUACAGCCUGUGGAACUUCAGGACCUGGGAGAGAAAAAAGCUACCAGCAACAUUCAGACUGAGAGAGGCCAAAAUACUAAUUCAUAAUUAGCCUGGUACAUAUGAAGGAUCAAAAAGAACAGGACUGUAUGUCUGACCUCUGACAGGCCCUACCACCAUAGUAGAGACUCAGUAUGUAUACUUAAUGAAGGAAUAAUGAAUACAUCAGCAAGAGAAAUAAGAGUGACCAUAUGUUCCUUAAGAGAAGCAAAGAGCAGCUCCUGUUCCUGCCAGCUGGAAUGAGUCUCCAUUCCUUGCAACAGAAGUGUCCUAAGUUAUAGCCAGAGGACGGGGGCACAUUGACAAAACAUAAAGCGGAUAUGAUAAUAACAAGGUACCAUUCCAGCAAGAACAUCUGAAGAAAGAAGCAGUGUUGUUUAUCUUUCCUUCAUCUAUUCUGAAACUAAAAUCCUUAACCAAAUUUAUUUCCGAAGUUUAACCCUUUAAUAAACUGGCCUCUGACUCCACCUGGUGGAGAUACAUAAAUCUAUGAAAAUAAACCAAUCCAAAUGAAGAUUUUAAAGUCAUCAGCUCUCUUUCAUGUCUCAAAGAAAAAACACAUAUCCCGAAAUUCAAAUAGAUGACCUUCUCGGAUGUGUUAUAGGCACUCAGAAGCCCCAAAGAAAAAAUAGUUUGAGUUGAUCAUUUGACUGUUGCUCUCAGCCUUCAUUUCUGCCUUUCUAGGUUGUGUCAGGCAUUUUGACUGUCCAGGGGCCCUGCAUAUUCUAUUUUCCUAGUUACUUGCUAAGGUUUGAAUAUUUGUCCCCCUCCAAAACUCAUGUUGAAAUUUAAUCCCAAAUGUGGCAGUAUUGAGAGGUGGGGCUUUUCAGAGGUGAUUGGGUCAUGAGAGCUCUGUUCUCAUGAGUGGAUUAAUCCAUUCAUGGAUUAAUGGAAUAAUGGACUAAUGGAUUAAUGAGUUAUCAUAGGAGUGGGACUGGUGCCUUUAUAAUAAGAGGAAGAGAGACCUGAGCUAGCACACUCACCCUCUUCACCAUGUGAGGUCCUGUGCCACCAUGGGACUCUGCAGAGUCUCAUCAGCAAGAAGCCACUUACCAGAUGUGGCCCCUUGACCUUGGGCUUCUCAGCUUCCAUAACUGUAAGAAAUAAAUUUCUUUGUAACUUGCCCAGUUUCAAGUAUUCUGUUAUAAGGAACUGAAAAUGGACUAAGAUACUUUCCUAUUGGCUUCUGGUUAGUUUCUAUCAAUAAGAAUUACUGGUAGAAGUUUGAAAGGUAGGAGUGGAGAGAUGGGACCUUUUUUAUUUUAGUUUCUAUUGGCAUUUUCCAGCAGCAAGGAACAAUGGGCAUUUCAUCAUCAUCUUUUAGCAUUUCCAGCACCCACAGCAAGGAGUCCUUUCACCUGCUUAGUAGCAGCCCUUCAGUAAUCCUAGCAUCUAUUUUAGGUGGUGUUUCAUUUGUGGUCUCAGGACUGGCCCAGGUAGUUCUCUUCUCCAUGAUUCUGGACUCUGGUGAUUCCAUCACCUCCACGUACGCCUUCAGCCAGAAGGACUGUCGCUGUUCCCAGCAGCCAUUUAGCAUAGUUACCUAAGUGUAACCAAAUUCCUGUAUUAUAUUCACUUGUUUGAAAAACCUUGAGUGAUUUCUGACCCACUUCUGUCUCAAGGCCUGAAUAUUCUGAUUCAGAUGAAUUUCAGAAAAUGGAAAAAAAAACUUAGUGAAUAAAAAAGAUUAAAUAGUUUUUAGAAAACCAUAGGAGACAAAAAAGCAACUGGAAGUCACACACACACACACACACACACACACAUUCUUUUAACUUUAUAAGUUAUAAUAAAUUAUGGUAAAAGAGUGACAAGUUUACCUACAUGAAUAUUGAAGCCUUUGUAAAAUCUUUAAAGAAAAAAGGGUACCAAUACAACAGAAAAUUUCAGACUGGAAAAAUAUUGGUAGUCAUCGUCUUAGUUUGAGCAUUUAUCAAUUGCAUUAUAGCAAAACCCUCCAAACUGCUCUCUCUGCUUUGAUUGUCUCUUUUUUUUCCAAAUCUUUUCUGCAUAUUGUCAAAGUUACAUUUCUAAGGAGCAAAUUAAAUGCUGUCACUAUGCUCUUUGAAUUAUCAGUCAACAAAGAGAUUUUUUAAACUAAUUAAUUUAUAAUUAUCCACAGAAAUACAUAUUAAAAGGACAGUGAGGUGUCUGCUAACUCUUUACUCUCUUGGAUGCAGCUUAAUUUCUUCUUCCAGGGACACUUUUCUGACAAUUUUGUUCUUAUACAAUUAUAGCAUUUUUUUUUCUUUUUUUGAGACAGGGUUUCACUCUGUCACACAGGCUGGAGUGCAGUGGCAUGAUCUUGGCUCACUGCAACCUCCGCUUCCUGGGUUCAAGCAAUUCUCAUGCCUCAGCCUCCAAAGUAGCUGGGAUUACAGGCAUGCACCUUCACAUUCAGCUCAUUUUUUUUUUUCUGUAUUUUUAGUAGAGACAGGGUUUCACCAUGUUGGCCAGGCUGGUAUUGAACUUCUGACCUCAAAUGAUCCGCCCACCUCGGCCUCCCAAAGUGCUGGUAUUACAGGCGUGAGCCACUGCGCCUGGCCAGUUAUAGCAAUUUUAAAAACAAUAUUCUAAUCAUGUCCUUUGCAG
rnacentral:lncRNA from 10 species